ACUCCUACGGGAGGCAGCAGUGGGGAAUAUUGGACAAUGGACCAAAAGUCUGAUCCAGCAAUUCUGUGUGUUUGAUGAAGGCCUUCGGGUUGUAAAGAACUUUCAGUGGGGAAGAAGCAAGUGACGGUACCCACAGAAGAAGCGACGGCUAAAUACGUGCCAGCAGCCGCGGUAAUACGUAUGUCGCAAGCGUUAUCCGGAAUUAUUGGGUCAUAAAGGGCGUCUAGGCGGUACUAAUAAGUCUGAUGUGAAAAUGCGGGGCGUCAACUCCGUAUUGCGUUGGAAACUGUUAGACUAGAGUUUUGGAGAGGUAGGCGGGAACUACAAGUGUAGAGGUGAAAUUCGUAGAGAUUUGUAGGAAUGCCGAUGACGAAGGUAGCUUACUGGACAAAUACUGACGCUGAAGCGCGAAAGCUAGGGGAGCAAACAGGAUUAGAUACCCGUGGUAGCGACUGA
rnacentral:rRNA from 1 species